AUGUUUUCCUCAAAAAACAUAAUUUCUUCUCGACUGAACAAAGAAAGACAUCAACAUUUUGGAUGACAUGGUGGUGAGUAAAUUAUCUGGAUUUUUUUAAGAAAAUGGACUAAUCCUUUAAAGAAAAUACAAGUAGGUAUAAGUGCACCUAACAGCAGACUCAACUGGACUUUAUUUUGUCCUUUGUUUUUUUCUCUCUUUCUUCACAGUUACACAUCUGCACAAUGAAGCUUGUAAACCUUAAGUCACCCAUUAGUUAUUGAUAUUCUUCUUUGAACCUAAUCAAUAUCCGAUUAGAGGCCUCAUUGACUUACAUAGUAUUCUUUUUUCCUACUAUGGAAUUCAAUGGGGCCUCUGAUCAGUUUGGUCAGUUAUAUCUUCCUUAGUGUUCAUCACAACAAAACAAAUAAAUACAGGUGUGUAACAGCAUGAGAGUGAGUAAAUGAUGACAGAAUUUUCAUUUUUGAACUAUCCCUUUAAAGUGAUUUUCUCAAUAUGAGACAGACUGUUUGAUUUGUUGAUUGGCAGAUGCAUGGACUGACCGAUUUCCAUUUGCGUGUACGCUUUCUCUCACCUGUUUCAGAUCAUGCCCUCUUCACCAAGGCCCCGUUCCCAUAGAAACAGAGAACAGCUGUUCUGUCAGGCCAGGUGUGUUUGAGUGACAGGGUCAUGUUAUGCUGUCCCAGGAGUGGACUGGAAGGAGAAUCCCGCUGUCUUUUGAUCUUCAGUUGUAUGUCAUGUACCUUUAUUGAUGAUGCUCAUUACAGGUACAAACAACAUAGUCGGAUUGUAGUCAAGACCACCUGAACCGAGACCAAGACUGGAGUGUGUCAAGAAGACCAAUGCUGCAUCCGAAAUAGCAUACUGUCACAGCAGGUGAAUGGCGCGGUCACAGAGGGGCAGUGCAGAAGCUCACUGCAGAAGAAGAGAGGAAAUUAAAUCAGCAGGACAGACAGGUUUAGGGCAGAAGCAACGAGUGCCAAGUGCAAACUCAUUUAAUUGUAUGUGUGUGGGCUGCUGUCCCCUGAUGCCCGGCCCAGGCCAACCACCCCAUAACCUUCCCAACCUUAAAGCCUACCAUAGGGAUACCACAGUCUGCUGCAGGGGGCGGCCGGGAACACACUCCAGUGUCCAAUUGGUGGUGAGGAUCAGGGAGGACGUUGUGGCCUUUGGUGACCAGCAAGGUCUUCAUUCAACCCACUGAUUGAGCUUUCAGCCCUUCAUUCAUAAUUGAAGGCCAUUAACUCCCAUGGUAUAUUUGAAUCUGGAGAAUAGCUGUGUUAUCAUCAUCGUGUCGUCUUUGCACAGCUUCUAAUGUGGUGAGAUGUGAUAAUGAACACGUUUGACAGGUGGGGGAAGCAAGGCAACGGGAAUUUGAAACAGUCAAAACUUAACUUAAUUACCAGCUUUUCAAAGCUACGUGUUUUUUUCUCACUCUCCUCACCUGUAACUUAGCCUCCUUAAAAGCGCUGCCUUACAAGAACGAUUGCAUGGGACAAUUAGCAAAGUGCCUGGGUUUAUUUGUGUGUGCUUGCAUGUGAAAUAAUACAUCAACAGGCUAAGGUGCACAGCUGUGAGAAAGGAUAACUGGGUUUUAUUUCCAACUUGGUGACUCUGAUGUCUGGCAGUGGCAGGGAGGGGGAAAGGAAAUCGGUGUAAUUAUUCUCCGUGUGCAAGGGAGCCAGCUGGGGACCCCUUCAACAACAUAGGCUAAUUUAUAUCUCCGUGGCACUUUCCCGGUUUCUGACAGAGGCGCUUUCUGCUCUCCGAGCUCUCCUGUCCAUACUUCUGGGAGCCCUACUGCUGCUACCACACCGCUUAUAGACUCCCUCCAAUCUCUGCUAUUUCGCCGCACUGCACUGUGCGAGGAGCAAGUCAUUAUGAGAGCUGAUGGUUCAGACAAAGUGAGUCACUCCCAGUACAAAUGAACUAUUGCCUCCAGAGACUGAGGGUUUUAAUCCUUUUGAAAUGAGAGGUUACAACAGCUUUUUGGUUUGGCAGUGUCUGAUUUAUUUUUAUGUAAUGCAGCAAGUUUUAUUAGCAUUGUUUUCUGUUUAACAUAGUUUGUUACGUUCUUCUAAUUUGAAUGGUAUUGUAAAACUGCUAUAGAAAUGGGAGUUAAAUAAAAAUCUUGUAGUGUCAGCAUGUUUAAGAUUUGAGAGAAGAAAUCUGUCAAGACUUUUCUUAUGUGUGUGCUGCAACCAGUUUUUUAUUCAGGCAUUUUCAGGCCUCACCUAACUAAUGAAAUUAAAGUUGAAUUAGCUUAAGUUAUCAAGUUUUGAUUUUUAUUAUUUAUAGCGACACCUUGCUAGUCGAGAAAGUUUAAAUGAAUUGUAAUUUCAAGUUGAUUAAACUUAAAAAUGUAAGUUCAACAAGGAUGUUUUUCAGUAUAGAGGAGAACCGGGGCGAAAAAACAUGGGACGAAAGUAACAAAGCGAUUUUCUCCAAACCCUGAUUAGAUUUGCAUUUCAAACUAUGACAGCAUCUUUAGCACGCAACCCUCGACAGAGCUGAAAAAUAUUGCGUUAUUUCCUCACCGUUUUGCGUGUGUGGGUCCAAAAAGCUGUUUUCAACCAUGAUAAGUAAAUUAAUCAUUUUAAAUUAAUACAUUUAAUAAUAUUAAUAAUACUUUUUAUAACAUGUUGUGUUUUUCAUUUCAUGUGUUACAGUACUGAUCAAUCCUCAGGAUAUUUAGUGCUCCAGCACAUCCUGAAAUUUGACUUCUCAAAGUUUUUCAAAAUAAAGUAAACUGGGUUUAAAUGUAUACUGUAAAAAAUACUUUGCUGCCUUAACAUUUUUUGUUAAAUCAACUCAGAUUUACAAGUCAUUUCAACAGAGAUGAGUUGUCACAACUUAUAAAAUAUAGUUGAGAAAAGUCAACUUAAUUUUAUAAGUUAUAACAACUCACCUGUAGUUAUAACAACUCAUCUUUAGUCAAGAUAAAUAAUAGUAAGUUGA